UCCGCAGGCGGUCAAUUAAGUCAGAGGUGAAAUACCAUAGCUCAACUAUGGAACUGCCUUUGAUACUGGUUGGCUUGAGUCAUAUGGAAGUAGAUAGAAUGUGUAGUGUAGCGGUGAAAUGCAUAGAUAUUACACAGAAUACCGAUUGCGAAGGCAGUCUACUACGUAUGUACUGACGCUGAGGGACGAAAGCGUGGGGAGCGAACAGGAUUAGAUACCCUGGUAGUCC
rnacentral:rRNA from 1 species